UACGGAGGGUGCGAGCGUUGUCCGGAAUCACUGGGCGUAAAGGGCGCGUAGGCGGCGCGACAAGGCGGCGGUGAAAGUCCGGGGCUCAACCCCGGAUCGGCCGUGGCGACUGUCGUGCUGGAGCACAGUAGAGGCGGGUGGAAUUCCGGGUGUAGCGGUGGAAUGCGUAGAGAUCCGGAAGAACACCGGUGGCGAAGGCGGCCCGCUGGGCUGUGGCUGACGCUGAGGCGCGACAGCGUGGGGAGCAAACAGG
rnacentral:rRNA from 1 species